rnacentral:rRNA from 1 species
AUUGUAACGCUGCGGCAUGCCUUACACACUGCAAGUCGAACGGCAGCACGGGAGCAAUCCUGGUGGCGAGUGGCGAACGGGUGAGUAAUAUAUCGGAACGGUGCCCAGUCGUGGGGGGAUAACGUAGCGAAAGCUACGCUAAUACCGCAUACGAUCUAUGGAUGAAAGCGGGGGAGUCGCAAGACCUCGCGCGAUUGGAGCGGCCGAUAUCAGAUUAGGUAGUUGGUGGGGUAAAAGCCUACCAAGCCUUCGAUCUGUAGCUGGCCUGAGAGGACGACCAGCCACACUGGAACUGAGACACGGUCCAGACUCCUACGGGAGGCAGCAGUGGGGAAUUUUGGACAAUGGGCGCAAGCCUGAUCCAGCAAUGCCGCGUGCAGGAUGAAGGCCUUCGGGUUGUAAACUGCUUUUGUACGGAACGAAACGGUUCUUUCUAAUACAGAGAGCUAAUGACGGUACCGUAAGAAUAAGCACCGGCUAACUACGUG